rnacentral:rRNA from 1 species
AACGAACGCUGGCGGCAGGCUUAACACAUGCAAGUCGAACGCAUCCUUCGGGGUGAGUGGCAGACGGGUGAGUAACGCGUGGGAACGUGCCCUUCAGUUCGGGAUAACCCAGGGAAACUUGGGCUAAUACCGGAUACGUGCGAGAGCAGAAAGAUUUAUCGCUGAAGGAUCGGCCCGGGUCUGAUUAGCUAGUUGGUGGGGUAAUGGCCCACGAAGGCGACGAUCAGUAGCUGGUCUGAGAGGAUGAUCAGCCACAUUGGGACUGGGACACGGCCCAAACUCCUACGGGAGGCAGCAGUGGGGAAUAUUGGACAAUGGGCGCAAGCCUGAUCCAGCCAUGCCGCGUGAGUGAUGAAGGCCUUAGGGUUGUAAAGCUCUUUCGUCCGGGACGAUAAUGACGGUACCGGAAGAAGAAGCCCCGGCUAACUUCGUGCCAGCCGCCGCCGUAAUAC